AAAGUGUCUACGGUGGAUUAAGGAUCGUGGAAGAGAACCAUGUACAAUUAAAUAUCAACAAACACAAGGGUGUAUGUUCGAAGGUAAGUGAGGGAGAAGUAUCUUCUCGGAGUUGGAUUGAAUUAUUAUCAGUGAUUUAUACAUUGCAGGAAAGUUGUUCCUUUCACUUUGUUUGUGUAUCACAGACCUGCUGAAUGAAGUGUUUUAUGGCGAGGAGUCGGGUUAGCGAUACGUGAAUGCAAGAGAAAUGUCUAUUUGCCUGCCUAUUUGUAUCAAAUCGGACUUUUAAGACAGAGCACUGGGUUCCAUUACGAGCCAUUACUCAGUUCUAAAGACUACAAUCACAUUACUGGUGAUCUUCCCAAGUAAAAAGUACUCACCCUGCUUUACAUGCGCAGUGCGAUUCCACUUUUUCAUUCUGUUGGAUUUUAAGAUGAAGUUUGUGAGGCGUCAAACUUUUUUGGCAUCGACCGCCGACAUCCAUCCAAAAUCUUAAUUCCGUGUACGUAUCCUUACGUGAAAUAGUUGUAGAACUCGCUCUGACGCGUUUGGCGAAAAACAUACCCGAAUAUUAUCUGGAAUACGCGAUAGAGAAUCGAGUUCAAACGUGUUCUGUUCGGUCGCCGUUUUGAAAGCUUGUGGGACAUGGCUAAGGGGGCGGAGCUUAAGAUGGCCAUCAGAAAGCUCGAUUAUGUUUGAUCAGAGAGGUUCCCCUCUAUUUUGUCCAAACCCUACUUUGAAACCGUAAUCCCAUUUUAAAACUGUACUCUGAAACCCUAACUAUGUUUUAAACCCUUAAUUGGUAACCCUAACCUCAUUUCAAAACCCUACUUUGAAACACGAACCCCAUUUUGAAAUUGUCAUUUGUUACCUUCACCCCAUUUGAAAACCCUCAUUUAAAACCCGGCUAACUCUGUUUUGAAACCUUCAUUUGUACCCCAACGGCGUUUAAAAAAAACUUACUUUGUAACUCUACCCGUGUUUUAAAAGCCUCUUUUGACACCCUAACCCCAUUUUAGAUAAAUGAUAGAUGCGUAGAAACCUGAUGGGCAGACCUAACUUUUGUCACGGAACGUCACCGCCAUCUAGUGGACAAACACAACAAUGCACGUACAUUUUGCUCGCAGUGCUAUGAUCAGAAAUAAGUUUUUUUUUUUUAAAGUGACGUCACAAAAAGAUGUACUGCUGCUUUGAUGAGGUUUGCAGCAACAGCUCAACAGGUUAGUAACCAAUGAGCACACCCAACUCCGGUACCUGCGUUAAUCGCCAGUUUUGUGGCCGUGAGAAAACAUUCCACAGAGCUGCGGGUUUCUGCAGACUAGGCAGCUACACUGGGCACAACACUCGUCCUUCUUCCUACAGUCCCAGCUGUCCACCACUGACAAAACAGAGUCCAUCAGUGACAUCAUCGAGUGAUAGACGCCGCCCACUUGGCCUGUGUCAAGAUGGGGUCAUGUGUGAGUGCUGGACAAGGGUUGAAUUUGCUUUCUGGGAAAGAACAUGCUGGCUAUGUGAGACGAGGAGGAAGGGAAGGAAAGAACUGAAAGAAAAGGAGUCGUCGUCUCAACACAGGCCAAAGGUAGAGUUAGCAGUGAGCUUCGGAUACAGCGCGAGCAGUCGAGUGAAGCGGGCGGAAAAAAAGGCACCGAUGCACUUUCAGGCAUUUACUGAACGAGACAGUCAAAUGCAAAUACGAGAUGAAAACACUCUCCAGGAGCAUACCAGAGAGGCAAACAUUAAACUAACAACUACCUUCUGAUGUCACUCACGAGGACACAACCCUUAAACCCAAACACAUCAACACGCAACUGUACAACAGCAACGUGCGUCUG